rnacentral:rRNA from 1 species
CGCCUGCGUGAAGUUGGAAUCGCUAGUAAUCGCGGAUCAGCAUGCCGCGGUGAAUACGUUCCCGGGCCUUGUACGCACCGCCCGUCACACCAUGAGAGUCGGGAACACCCGAAGUCCGUAGUCUAACCGCGAAGGGGACGCGGCGAAGGUGGGUUCGAUAAUUGGGGUGAAGUCGUAACAAGGUAAC